UUCAUUCUGCCCGACGCUCUGUGUAUCUCAGGCGAAUGCUCCCCAGCGCCGCGUGGUGAUGUGAUUUCUUACUGUGGGAUGUUUAAUCUCUACCGAUAACUGCGAAGCGGGAGACGCAGGCGUGCGAGCGAACGGGGUUUGGCUGCGUGGUCCCCAGAGCCUCCGUCGGCAGGUGCUGAGCCCCAGGGAGAGCAUCUGGAAGUGCCCAGCUCUGCGGAUGGAUGGCUCCAUGCAAAGCUAAGCCCAGCGUUUAAUGCCAGCUUAAAAUGUGUUGCUGCUGGUUUCACCGUUUUUCCCUUUUUCCUUCCUGCUCCAGCCCGGAUGUGUCGGCUGUGACACCUGCCAGGGUUGUGUCCCUCCCUCUGCCCCCUGUUCCCUUCAGUAAUGCUGUUCUAACUCUUCACCAGAAUGUAUUUCCUCUUCAGAAUAGGGUAGGUUAGGUGGCUGGUGGUGUUCUGGAUUGCAUAGGCCUUUUUUUUUUGGUUUGUUUUUAGCAGGCAAGGUGUGACCUGAGAACAGCUGGGCUCACUUCCUGCUCUGCCUCCACUCUCUGACUGCGUGGCCUUGGGCAAGUCACUUGACCUCUCUGUGCCUCAGUUCUCCCAUCUGUAAAAUGGGGAUAAGUCAUAUUUGAGCACUUUGGGCAAGCACUUGGUGGCCUACAGACUGCAAGUGCUAUGUAAAUGCUUAGUGCUAAUACCAAGCAAUCCCUACCUUUAAAAUAUUUAGAGUUGGUUAUUUUUCUUUUUUUUUUUUUGUUUGAAGUGGUAAAAUCAACCACUGCAUCCAGGUUUGCACAGUUCUUCCUCUGCGGUAAAGUGCUAAACCCUCCAGCCUGCCUGGGAAUAAAACACCGAGUGUUUCAUGUAGAUAUUCUUGCUUUGAGUGGAUUCAGGCUGUAGAAAAAGCAUCAGGAGAGCUGGAGAGCCUGCAGGCAUGUUUUUAGCCUCAGGCUCUCUAUUUGCAUACGAAACUUUUGUUUAUUCCCAGGUAGAAUUGCCAAGAGAUUCUCUGCAAUCUCGCCUUUAAUUCUGCUUUGCCUUGGUUUUUGCUCUUGCUGCUGGUUGAACCUACAAGGGCUGAGAUGUUUGGAGGAAGACGUGAGCUCUCUGUUGUGAUCUGGCUCUCCGACCAUGCCACACUUUUAGGUCAGAGCCUGUUGAUGGCUCUGCCUCCAUAUGCCUGGUUUGAGAGGUUGUGCUUCCUUUCCCAGCAGGAUGCUCGGGAACCUGUGGCCACCAAAAGCAGAGCACCGUGUCUUUUCCAAUCUCCAGCCCUUCAGUAAGGUUUGAACCACUGGACAAUGAAUCCUCUAAAUCGAUAACCAGAUAUUUCUGAGCUUUAACAACUUUCUCAAACCAUCACCAGGGUUUUUCCCUAGAACCUGCUCGGAUCUGAAUUGAUUUAAUGCCAUUCUCCCGCUCGGCAGCGGGAAGAACUCUGCCUGGCUUGACCAAACUUCAGCUCGCCAGUCACUGCAGCCGGGCUGCUCCUGAUGGACAGGUGACCCUCGGGGCCGGGGGAGGCGUGGAGGCUCUGUGCUGCCCGUGCCAUGGCCAACUUGCUCUUCCUUUUGCUCUCAUUGCCUCAGCCUCUCAAACAGAGGCUUGCUUUUCCAUUUGAGUGCUUUCCAAACGAUUUACAACACCCGUUCGGAUGGGCCAGGCGCUGUCUUCAGGCUCUUGAGGUUGCUACCUCAGGACUAUGCCCCAUCCCGUCUUAAGGAGCUCUAGAGGACUUGGAGUGCAGGGCAGGUUGACGGAGCAUGCCGGCUUGCUGGGUCAGUCUUUUGAGAGUUGUUUUCCUUUUGCAGGUGUUUUGAGCCACUGGGCUUUUCAUGGUCUUCGACCUUUAGAGGCUGGAGCUGCAGCCCUCUCUCUUUCAGCCGUGUACCUGCCACGCUGCUGGAGUGGGAAAUCCCGCCCGGGCGCCUCGUGGAAGCAGCUCCUCCCUAAAACCAUCCUUAACUCCUUUCCCUGCUAGACCGAGUUACCUUCCAAUAGACUCGGGCCGUGCUUUGGCUGACUGGCUCGCCUCUUGCUUUGGCAACCUCCUCGCUUCUCCCAGCCCUCUGGUUUCCAUGCCCUUCAGGGUUGCUCCUCUCUCCUUCCAUGGACCUGGAAACAUCGAAGCCGUGUCAGACGAUGCCAAACACUUCCCCCAUUUCACCCCCGUUCGAACUCCGUGUCGCUUUGGUGGUUUGCAAACACAGCUGCUGUCACUGCUGCUGCUGCUUCUUCAUUUUUUUUUUUUUUUUUUAUUCUUUUCCUUUCAUGCUGCAAAAUAUAUCUUGAUUUUUAUCUUCCUGGGCCAAACUCUCUUAUUUUCUAAGCUGGUCUGAGGUAGAUGGCUCUUUCUGUAUCAGUAACUGUACGAUUCCUCCUUGCACGUUGCGAACAUGAUGUUCCAUUAGCUCCCUUGGCAAAUCCUG